AAAAAACAUCAAUAGCGGAGAAAAGAAACCAACAGGGAUUGCCCCAGUAACGGCGAGUGAAGCGGCAACAGCUCAAAUUUGAAAUCUGGCUUUCGGGCCCGAGUUGUAAUUUGUAGAGGAUGCUUUUGGCGCGGUGCCUUCCGAGUUCCCUGGAACGGGACGCCACAGAGGGUGAGAGCCCCCUACGGUCGGACACCAAGCCUCUGUAAAGCUCCUUCGACGAGUCGAGUAGUUUGGGAAUGCUGCUCUAAAUGGGAGGUAUAUCUCUUCUAAAGCUAAAUAUAGGCCAGAGACCGAUAGCGCACAAGUAGAGUGAUCGAAAGAUGAAAAGCACUUUGAAAAGAGGGUUAAAAAGUACGUGAAAUUGUUGAAAGGGAAGGGCUUGUGACCAGACUUGUGCCGGGUUGAUCAUCCGCGGUUCUCCCGCGGUGCACUCUCCCCGGUCCAGGCCAGCGUCGGUUCUGGSAGGGGGACAAAAGCUUGGGGAACGUGGCUCCUCCGGGAGUGUUAUAGCCCCUCGCCCAAUGCCCCUGCCGGGACCGAGGUUCGCGCUCUGCAAGGACGCUGGCAUAAUGGUCAUCAGCCACCCGUCUUGAAACACGGACCAAGGAGUCGAGGUUUUGCGCGAGUGUUUGGGUGUCAAACCCGCACGCGUAAUGAAAGUGAACGUAGGUGAGAGCUUCGGCGCAUCAUCGACCGAUCCUGAUGUAUUCGGAUGGAUUUGAGUAAGAGCGUAAAGCCUCGGACCCGAAAGAUGGUGAACUAUGCCUGAAUAGGGUGAAGCCAGAGGAAACUCUGGUGGAGGCUCGCAGCGGUUCUGACGUGCAAAUCGAUCGUCAAAUUUGGGCAUGGGGGCGAAAGACUAAUCGAACCAUCUAUAGUGUACGCGG
rnacentral:rRNA from 1 species